rnacentral:rRNA from 1 species
AGCGAACGCUGGCGACAGGCCUAACACAUGCAAGUCGAACGGGCGCAGCAAUGCGUCAGUGGCAGACGGGUGAGUAACACGUGGGAACGUACCCCUCGGUUCGGAAUAACUCAGGGAAACUUGAGCUAAUACCGGAUACGUCCGAGAGGAGAAAGAUUUAUCGCCGAAGGAUCGGCCCGCGUCUGAUUAGCUUGUUGGUGAGGUAACGGCUCACCAAGGCGACGAUCAGUAGCUGGUCUGAGAGGAUGAUCAGCCACAGUGGGACUGAGACACGGCCCAAACUCCUACGGGAGGCAGCAGUGGGGAAUAUUGGACAAUGGGCGAAAGCCUGAUCCAGCCAUGCCGCGUGAGUGAUGACGGCCUUAGGGUUGUAAAGCUCUUUCGACGGGGACGAUAAUGACGGUACCCGUAGAAGAAGCCCCGGCUAACUUCGUGCCAGCCGCCGCCGUAAGAC